rnacentral:rRNA from 1 species
AGAACGAACGCUGGCGGCAUGCCUAAUACAUGCAAGUCGAACGAACUCUUCGGAGUUAGUGGCGCACGGGUGCGUAACGCGUGGGAAUCUGCCCCUUGGUUCGGAAUAACAGUUGGAGACGACUGCUAAUACCGGAUGAUGACGAAAGUCCAAAGAUUUAUCGCCAAGGGAUGAGCCCGCGUAGGAUUAGCUAGUUGGUGAGGUAAAGGCUCACCAAGGCAACGAUCCUUAGCUGGUCUGAGAGGAUGAUCAGCCACACUGGGACUGAGACCACGGCCCAGACCGUCCUACGGGAGGCCAGCGAGUAGGGAAUAGUGGAACAAGUGGGACGAAAGCCUAGACUCCAGCAAGUCGGCCGCGGUGAGUCGAAGUGAAGGUCCGUUAAGGGGUUAGUAAACGUCCUUUACCGUUUUACCCGGAAGUAGUUAGUAAUUAAA